rnacentral:rRNA from 1 species
UACGGGGGGGGCAAGCGUUGUUCGGAAUUACUGGGCGUAAAGGGCUCGUAGGCGGCCAACUAAGUCGGAUGUGAAAUCCCCAGGCUUAACCUGGGAACUGCAUCUGAUACUGGAUGGCUUGAAUCCGGGGGAGGGAUGCAGAAUUCCAGGUGUAGCGGUGAAAUGCGUAGAUAUCUGGAGGAAUACCGGUGGCGAAGGCGGCAUCCUGGACCGGCAUUGACGCUGAUGAGCGAAAGCUAGGGGGGCAAACAGG